GCGCUAACCAUGACCCAUCAGGAGCAAUUAGGGGUUCAGUGUCUUGCUCAGGGACACCUCGACAUGAACGCGAUGGGCCCAGGGAUUGAACCAGUAACCUUCCAGUUACAAGACGGCCACUCUACUCACUGAGCCAUGUGUUUGGCAUUCCAAGAGUAAUACAAACGGGCCAAGGGUUGAAUGUUUUCUGAGGUCCUUUCGCAACUCAACGUGAAGCAUAAUGUCUUUGCCCUAUCAUCCAUAAAAGCAAGGGGCACUUGAAUGUUUCCAUCAGCAUUUGAAGUCAUUGCUGCGCACUUAUUGUAUUGAGUUAAAGGCUGAUUGGCAAGAGGGGUUGCCAUGGCUUUUGUUGGCAGCCAGAGAAGUAGUGCAAGAGAGUACAGGGUUCAGCCCCAAUGAAGUUGUCUUUGCUCUGCUUAAAGUGUGGGGUCCAUUAUCUGUAAUUCGAGAUCAGUGGCUCAAUUCUGAUCCACCAAAAAACCUGAUCUCCUAUGUAAAUGGGUUUACAAUACAGUAGCUUCAUGAGGCAGGGGAGCUGGCCAAACAAAACUUGAAGAUGGCUCAGAAAAAAAUGAAAACGCUGUACGACCGAAAAGUGGAGCGGCGCGAAUUUUGUGCAGGUGGCCAGGUUUCAGUUUUACAGCUGCUAAUUAAUUCUCCAUUCCAGGCUAAAUUUUUUGGUCCCUGUAAUGUAGUUCAAUGAGUUUCAGAGCAAAAUUACAUGGUUGAGAUGCCAAAUAAGAAGAAAUCUGUCAAAGCAUGUCACGUUAAUUCUCUGAAACCUUACUUUGCCUGUGGUGACACUCGUUUCAGAUAGACCUGUUUUGGUGGCUGGGACUGGUCCAGAGGAGAUGUACGACAAGGUGGUGUUACAAUCCCAGCUUAAAAAUUCUGAAUCUUUGGCCAAGUUAGACUCACUAAUGGAGCAACUUGAGACCAAAUGAAAACAACUAAUUGAGAUAAUCCAAGUAUAUCCAAGUUUGUUUUCAGAUACCCCUACAUGCACCAACUUAAUAGAGCAUGAUGUUGAUGUGGGGGAUGCUAAGCCCAUCAAUCAAAGGUUUUAUCGGGAAAAGCAGCAGAUAACCUACUGGAUGCAGAAGUAGAUUAUGAUUGAAAAUGGCCUUGCUAUUCCUUUCACCUCCAGCUGGUCGUCUCCUGGUACAAAAGCCUGAUUCUACAUUUAGACCGUGCCCUGACUGUAGAAAGGUCAAUGCAAUAAUGCAGCCUAAUUCUUUCCCUCUUCUCCGUAUAGAUGACUGUAUAGACCUCGUGGGGUCUGCCAAGUAUAUGAGCAAGUUUGACCUUCUUAAAGGCUACUGGCAGGUUCUAGUCUCAGCCAGAGCCUGAGAAAUUUGUUAAUUUGUGACCUCAUCAGACCAGAUGUUGGAUUCAUAUACAGUUAUGCCAUUUGGGCUGCGCAAUGCUCCUGCAACCUUUCAGAGGUUAAUGAACAAAGUAGUGAGGGGACUUGAGGGUUGUGCAGUUUAUUUAGAUGACGUUGUCGUAUUUAGUGAUGCAUGGGAAGAUCAUUUAGUGCGUGUAAAAGCCUUGUUUGACCGACUUCUUUGGGCAAAGCUGACCGUCAAUCUGGCAAAAUGUGAAUUUGCCAAGGCCACUGUGACUUACCUGGGCAGGGUGGUUGGACAAGGUCCGGGCUGUACAAGAAUUUCCUGUUCCAACCACAAAACGGGAAUUGUUGCAUUUCCUAUGAAUGGCUGGAUAUUAUAGUACGUUUCUUCCUAAUUUUGCUUCAGUGUGUUCUCCUUUGACUGGUUUAUUGAAGGAUGAUGUUAAAUAUGUCUGGUCUCCCAUCUGUCAACAGGCGUUUACCCAGGUGAAGGAGCUGUUGUCCUCAGCUCCUCGGUUGGAUCGUUCCUUCACGCUGCAGGUGGAUGCCAGUGAUGUAGGGGCUGGCGUGGUAUUGUUGCAGGCUGAUGAAAAGGGCGUUGAGAAACCUGUUUGCUUCUUCUCGAAGAAAUUCAAAGGCUCGUGGUCUCGUUCCUGUGUUCUCUUAAAGGUGCUUCUUCUGGAUCCAAAGUUGCUGGGUCAUAGGAAUGUGGAGCAGUGGUGAGAGUCAGAGGUGGUACUUCUGUGUUACACGGGGGGGUGAUGGAUGGAGGAGGUUCCUCCAAGCCCUGGUGCUGCAGAAAAUCAUCAGGCAGGAUUGCUCGCACCUGGAAGGAAGUGGGUGUGGCUGCUGGGCUGGGUUUGCAAAGUGCUGCUCAGGGCAGUCAGUCUGUCUCUGGCUUCCCACCUGGCUGGAUCUCCCACACCUGGUGUUAGUUUGGGUUUUUUCCUUUGGUUAGAGAAGUAUGUUUGGUUCUUUUGUUUAGAGGAAUAUGUUUGGUUUUUCUAUGGUUUAGUGGAUUAUGUUUGAUCAAUUCUUAAUUCUUUUGCUAUAUUCA